UACGUAGGGGGCAAGCGUUAUCCGGAUUUACUGGGUGUAAAGGGAGCGUAGACGGCAGAGCAAGUCUGAAGUGAAAGCCCGCGGCCCAACUGCGGGACUGCUUUGGAAACUGCCCGGCUAGAGUGCUGGAGAGGUAAGCGGAAUUCCUAGUGUAGCGGUGAAAUGCGUAGAUAUUAGGAGGAACACCAGUGGCGGAGGCGGCUUACUGGACAGUAACUGACGUUGAGGCUCGAAAGCGUGGGGAGCAAACAGG
rnacentral:rRNA from 1 species